AGGGAUGUGGCCAAGCGGUAAGGCACGAGACUUUGACUCUCGCAUCCGUAGGUUCGAAUCCUGCCAUCCCUGCCA
rnacentral:tRNA from 1 species